ACUACAGACGGUUCGUCAGCCCGGAAACCAGAACUUCAGACACGAGCAUGCCCCAGGGUGUUGACAGGCACCGCCACUGUCAUCGUGCCUUGCCCCAUGCGACGCAUCAUCUCCUAAGCGUUGGCCACCAGCUUCUUAAGGCCGUCCUUCAAUGCUUGGACAUCUGCCGUCUUCUGCAGACCUGUCCAAGACAAAAGAGAAGCACACGAUGCAAACACAAUUUCAAGAGGGGAUCUGAGCAGAUAUUUGUCAAACAUGACACGAUUCCUGCCGUCUAUAGCCCACUCAAUAGCAGCCAGCCCAAUUAGAUAGGAGUACUAGAAUCUAGCUAAUCUCCUCCGUCACUUCACAAUACUUAUUUUUUUCUUUCGCUCUAAAAAAUACUUUUUUUUUCUUUCUGCCCUGACAGCCAAGAACUCGAUAUGAUUAAAGGAUGGUUGUUUGAUGUACAUCCAUCACUACACAAGAUUGAUCCAUCUUUAUUAAGAGAGAAAAAGCAAGCGAUUACGGAAUCUAACAUGGCCCUUUUAAGUAAAUAGACGCCUAGCUAAUCUCCUCCGUUCAAACUACGAACAGAUCGAGCAACUUGGUUGAGGUCUUGAGGAGAUCGAUCUGUGUCAGGCCGUGACGGGGGUCGUUGGUUCGUUGCAACUGUGCUACUCCUAGGAAGCGGUCGCAGCCGUUUCUUAGUUUGGAUCAAGUUGCAUUGUUACGAAAUCAGCUUGAAAUUUCUUGGACGUGACACAGCUGAUUCAGAAGGACAGGAACGUUGCCAAAAAAAAAAAAGCAGGACAGGAACGUGUGACAAUGAGGACAAAUAAACGAGGCAUUGAACAAUUUGAGGCAACGGGUCUACUAGAGUGCCUCCAAAGAUUGAAGC
rnacentral:lncRNA from 1 species